CUGAUUUUCCACAUAAUCUCAUGUGGGAAAAGCCAGGUUAGCUGAUAUGUGGAAUGGGGUGUCUGGGGGACCAAUUAGCACAGUCACAAGGGAGAAAUGUCAAGAAAUUAUUAAGUUCUUUCCAUGUGUGUACAAGGUCCCAGGCCAGGCUCUGGGAAUGGUUCAAAGGUGUGUAAAGCCUGUUUUCGGUGAGCCUUGGCAGUGUGCUUAGGAGUGGGUGUCCUGGUUAUUUUAGAGAUAACUACAACCACAGUGUCAACCCAUCACGAAAAGGUUCUCAUCCUUCAUUCUAAAAGGUGGGUCAUAGUGGAGCUCUAAGCCAGGCAGAGAAAUCAUACCCCUCAGAGUUUGAAUAUGUAGAAAACAGCUUCAAAAGCUGUGAGAAGCAACAGAAACUGAAAUCUGCUUAGAAACAUACAUGAUUAGAAUUGGUUAUGAAAAACUGUGUGACAUUUGUAAAAUGAAAACAAAAGGAAACUGGGUUUAAGGGAAUUGUUUUGAAAUGUGAGUUACAAGUUGUUUCUGGACUUUGGGUGGCCUAGAGUGGUGGCUACUUCAAUUUUCCCUCUUAGAAUAGUUUUUAUGGGUAGAAUAUUCCAGAUCCCUCUCCAGUUUCUGCAGGUUGAAAGCACUAGGGUGGAGGCAGGGGCUGUGCAAACAGGUAUUCCUGAGUCUUUUUUGAGCUGUUGCCCUGCUCUGUGGUCCUUGUGGCUGUAAAGACACAUUUCUUUCAAAGCAACUUCUUUGUUUAAACACGUUGGCACUGGCCGGGCACGGUGUCACAUGCCUGUAAUCUCAG
rnacentral:lncRNA from 10 species